rnacentral:rRNA from 1 species
UGGGGAAUAUUGCACAAUGGGCGCAAGCCUGAUGCAGCCAUGCCGCGUGUGUGAAGAAGGCCUUCGGGUUGUAAAGCACUUUCAGCGAGGAGGAAGGUGGUGAGCUUAAUACGCUCAUCAAUUGACGUUACUCGCAGAAGAAGCACCGGCUAACUCCGUGCCAGCAGCCGCGGUAAUACGGAGGGUGCAAGCGUUAAUCGGAAUUACUGGGCGUAAAGCGCACGCAGGCGGUUUGUUAAGUCAGAUGUGAAAUCCCCGGGCUCAACCUGGGAACUGCAUUUGAAACUGGCAAGCUAGAGUCUCGUAGAGGGGGGCUAGAAUUCCAGGUGUAGCGGUGAAAUGCGUAGAGAUCUGGAGGAAUACCGGUGGCGAAGGCGGCCCCCUGGACGAAGACUGACGCUCAGGUGCGAAAGCGUGGGGCAGCAAACAGGAUUAGAUACCCUGGUAGUCCACGCUGUAAACGAUGUCGAUUUUGGAGGUUGUGCCCUUGAGGCGUGGCUUCCGGAGCUAACGCGUU